rnacentral:rRNA from 1 species
AUGCACUUGCCAGACAACUCCAUAUCCUCUUGGGCAGACCUAUGCCAUCAGUUUGUCGGUGCCUUUACAGGCGGCCACAAGCCUCAUGGCCAAGAGAGCGACCUUCAUCUGCUCGCCCAGAAGGAAGGAGAGCCCCUGCGCAAGUACAUUCAGAGAUUCAGCCGCGUACAGCACAACAUCCCAGAUGUCCACCCUGCCGCGGUAAUCAGCGCGUUCCACCAGAACAUGCAAAACCGCAGGAUGCGGGAGGAGAUGGCUAUGUGCAAGAUCAGAGACGUCAGUGAGCUAUAUGCCCUGGCCAACAAGUGUGCACGUGCUGAGGAAGGGAGGAAACUCCCCGGAGAGAAUAUAGGAGCAGGAGGAUCUGAUAGUGAGGAGACUGCCCCGGCAAAGAAAAACCGGCGGCGGAACAACAGGAAGAAGAAAGGCAAAGAUGUGCUAGUCGUUGAGCAGUCCGGCAACGGAGGUGGCGCCAAGAAAGCCAAAGCUGGUAGCUCCGGCGAGGAGGUUGUGGCGGUCGCCGACAAGCAAGACGGCACCAACAAGCAGUACUGCAAGAUCCACCGUACCAAGGGCCAUGACCUCCAGAGCUGCAAGAAGGUCGAGCAGCUUGUCGAGCAGCAAAAGGCUGAAUACGAGCGACGCGACAAGGAGAAGGCC